rnacentral:rRNA from 1 species
UACGUAGGGAGCAAGCGUUGUCCGGAAUCAUUGGGCGUAAAGCGCGCGUAGGCGGCCCUGUAAGUCCGUUGUGAAAGUCAAAGGCUCAACCUUUGAAAGCCGAUGGAUACUGCAGGGCUAGAGUCCGGAAGAGGCGAGUGGAAUUCCUGGUGUAGCGGUGGAAUGCGCAGAUAUCAGGAGGAACACCCGUGGCGAAAGCGGCUCUCUGGAACGGUACUGACGCUGAGACGCGAAAGCGUGGGGAGCGAACAGG